AAAACGACUCUCGGCAACGGAUAUCUCGGCUCUCGCAUCGAUGAAGAACGUAGCGAAAUGCGAUACUUGGUGUGAAUUGCAGAAUCCCGUGAACCAUCGAGUCUUUGAACGCAAGUUGCGCCCGAAGCCUUAGGGCCGAGGGCACGUCUGCCUGGGCGUCACGC
rnacentral:rRNA from 4 species